AUGACCACCUUCCGAGUACGACGGGCAGAAGCCGAUGCGGCCAGCGGUGGCCGCUGGAGCGAGGCGGUUAACACGUCCAGAGCAUCUCGUCCAGAGCUCGCUGGAGCAGAGGUCGACCUCGCUGGAGCAGAGCUGCUGGCCACGCCCGACCUCGUCCUGAGAAAAGGAUCUCGCGGGCCGCUGCUGGAGGGAGUUCACGCGAUGGAGGGAGAGGAGGAGGCCACACCGGAGUUAGGUGGUGCCAGAUGGAGGAGGCGCUGGAGGGAGGUGGCCGCACCGCCCGCGAUGCUCGCCCGAGUGAGGAGGCGCCGAAGGGACGAGGCUGCGCUCCUCACCGGCACGUGCCGCGCCGCCCGCGCUGCUCGCCGGAGUGAGGAGGCGCCUAAGGGAUGA
rnacentral:rRNA from 1 species